CGUAAGAUGGGGAUUCUUUUAUGAAAGGGCGUGAGGGAAAUGUCUGAAACAAAGUGACCUUUAAUCACUUCCUUUAUCAGGAGCUGUAAGGACGUGGGGAAAGAAGCUGAGGACUUCAAAAAUGAUGAAAGAAAGAAAAGAGAGAAAGAAAGAAAGAAAUCCUUACAUUACAACCCAGCAGGAAGUACCUGUGUCCUUCUCCAGUCUACCUGCCAGUAUACCGUGUGCAGUCUACCUGGGAGUCUACCGUGGACUAGAUGGCCUGUUUUAGGAUGUCACAUGAAUGGAAUCACACAGCACCUGCGUCCUUCCCCUCCCGGUGGUAAUUCCUGAAAUAAAUCUAUCAAAAUCUGUCAAAAACCCUGGCUCUGAAACCGCCUUCGGAACCAGCUGCUGGCCCCCCGGCUUUACUCUCUGGCUUCGGCUGGAACACACCCGGCUUCCGCCUGGCCCCCGCCACACUCAUGGUCUCCCCACGGCGCCCCUGUGACUGCACCGCCGGGAGCACCGCCGCCUGACCGCUUCCUUCGUCUCUGAAACUGCUCACCCCUUGCUCCCAGCAUCUCUGAGGACCCUGACCCUUCCUUCUGAAACCUCCUCCAUGGGUUUUAUAGCAUUACAAUAAAUUUCCUUUUGGCUUAAGCUAACUUAAUACUUUUUGUCAUUUAUAUAUAAAGAAUUAUAAGGAAUAAAUACAAGGAAUAUCAAAUUAAGCACAUAUGAAAUAAAACUCAGUCUGCUUUCCACC